rnacentral:rRNA from 1 species
CAGCCCCUCGAGUGGUGGGGAUGAUUAUUUGGCCUAAAGCGUCCGUAGCCGGCCGAGUAAGUCCCCCGUUAAAUCCAGCGUCUCAAGCGUUGGACUGCGGGAGAUACUACUUGGCUAGAGAGUGGGAGAGGUCAGCGGUAUUCUGGGGGUAGGGGCGAAAUCCUUUGAUCCCCGGAGGACCACCAGUGGCGAAGGCUGCUGACUAGAACACGUCUGACGGUCAGGGACGAAAGCUGGGGUAGUGAACCGGAUUAGAUACCCGAGUAGUCC